rnacentral:rRNA from 1 species
UACGGGGGGGGUAAGCGUUGUUCGGAAUUACUGGGCGUAAAGGGCUCGUAGGCGGUCAACUAAGUCAGACGUGAAAUCCCUCAGCUUAACUGGGGAACUGCGUCUGAUACUGGAUGGCUUGGAUUCGGGAGAGGAAUGCGGAAUUCCAGGUGUAGCGGUGAAAUGCGUAGAUAUCUGGAGGAACACCGGUGGCGAAGGCGGCAUUCUGGACCGACAUUGACGCUGAGGAGCGAAAGCCAGGGGAGCAAACGGG